CGGAAAUACCCAAAAGCCUCCAGAGUCUGAAAACCCUAAUCUGAUCAAAACCCCAAUUCGAUUUCCCAGAAAUCCCCAAUCUCCCAGACACCGAAAAACCUAAUUCUAUUGCAGAAUCCCCAAAUCUCCCCGACGAGACCGAAAACCCCAAUUCGAUUUCUUGGGGAUUAACUGAAAACCCCAAUUUGAUUUUCAUAGUAAUACCCAAAUCUCCCAGAGAUCGAAAACCCCAAUUCGAUUUCACAGAAACCCCUAAAUCUCCCAGAAGCCGAAAACCCCAAAUCGAUUUCUUGGGGAUUAACUGAAAACCCCAAUUCGAUUUUCACAGUAAUACCCAAAUCUCCCAGCGAUAGAAAACCCCAAUUCGAUUUCACAAAAAAACCCAAAACUGAAAACCCUAAUCUUUUCUCCGUGAAACCCAACCCCAUUCUCUCAAACCCAGAUCCCAUUUCUUUUGAUUGACGGCGAGAAUGGAGAAGCAAGUCUACUUGUAUCCCAAGAACUCAGAUUUCGCGCCCAAGAUUAUCAGGGUCAGGGACGACGGUACCCAUUCGGUGCACGACGUCUCAUCUCCGUCGUCAACGUCUCCGCUCGAUGUCAUCGGCAGCUACGGAAACAGAGUGUGCUUUCAGAAUUUUUCCGAGAACUGCUUCGUUGUGUGGAAUGUAGAUAGUGGAGUCGAGGAAAGGCGGAUUCUUUACGAUCCUUUGGAUGCUAACGGAUCUAUUUCUGUUUCCGGUUUCGGUCAUACAGAUGAAGGCGAAAUAAAAAUCGUCAGGAUUGCUCGCGUCGGCCUUUCCUUCAUGUCCAAGACGUACAGCGGCGGUGCUGGCGGCGGCGCCGGCAGCAGGGUUACUGGUGGUGCCGUAGGAGCGGGCGGCGUCUUUGUUGAGGACCACACAUGGGCAGCAUGGCAGAUGUCUACUCUUGGCCUACCUUUUAUCCCAGACGAGUUUCAACAGGCGAGGUUUGUGGCGGCGACCGGCACCAUUUACUGGCAUGGCUCAGUCAGGCAGGCGUCCACCAUCGUCACGUAUAACAUCAACACUGAUGUUCUGGGGAAUCUGCCACCGCCCGC
rnacentral:lncRNA from 1 species